rnacentral:rRNA from 1 species
AGGGUUCGAUUCUGGCUCAGGAUGAACGCUAGCUACAGGCUUAACACAUGCAAGUCGAGGGGCAGCAUGACCUAGCAAUAGGUUGAUGGCGACCGGCGCACGGGUGAGUAACACGUAUCCAACCUGCCGUCUACUCUUGGCCAGCCUUCUGAAAGGAAGAUUAAUCCAGGAUGGGAUCAUGAGUUCACAUGUCCGCAUGAUUAAAGGUAUUUUCCGGUAGACGAUGGGGAUGCGUUCCAUUAGAUAGUAGGCGGGGUAACGGCCCACCUAGUCAACGAUGGAUAGGGGUUCUGAGAGGAAGGUCCCCCACAUUGGAACUGAGACACGGUCCAA